ACAUAUCUCCAUUACCCGAAACCCUAAUCCCCCAAUUUCUCUUCCAAUUUGUUUCGAUCACGAUCUCUGAGAAAAUCAAUCAAGAGAGCAAUUCAAAAGCUUCACGGUGGAGAUCAAAUUCUCAUUCAGACAUUACAGAAGGUAUUAUCAUGAGAUUCAGAAAAGGAAGUCGAGUUGAGGUGUUUACAAACAAAGAAGCACCUUAUGGUGCGUGGCGUUGUGCUGAGAUUAUUUCGGGUAAUGGACAUACCUACAAUGUUAGAUAUUGCUCUUUCCAACUUGAACACGAGGAGGAUACCGUGACGGUGAGAGUUCCCAGGAAGAUCAUUAGGCCGUGUCCUCCGCAUGUGGAUGUUCACAGAUGGGAGACUGGUGAACUGGUGGAAGUUCUUGAUAACCAUUCGUGGAAAGCUGCCACUGUUCGAGAGGAGUUAUGUGGAAACUACUAUUUGGUUCGGUUACUUGGGACUCCAGCCGAAUUUACAUUUCAUCAAGUUAACCUCAGGGUCCGACAGUCGUGGCAAGAUGAGACAUGGGUUGCAAUCGGAAAGAUAUCAGGUUCUGUGAAGUCAUCCACACUGACUGGAUCAGACGUACAUCAGAAGCUACAGCCCCAUACGAACAGCAAACUCGUCCAUGAGCCAAGUGUUGUCUCUGCUAGAGUAUUGAAGAGGCCGUCACCCUACAACUGGUCUGAAUGUGCUGAAUCAUGCACAGGAAAACCUAAGAAGAUACGAUCAUUGGAAAAAGAGGGACAGAAGCACCGAUUUUCUGCCUCAUCACUGCAAAAGGUAGAUGCUUUUGCUUGCCGACCUGAAAGUAGGGGUGGUAAAUCUCACGUGCAAGCUUCAUUUAACAACCACAAAACUGGUUGCAGUCAAAUCGUCAGGGUAAGAUCAAAAGGGUUUAGUGAGAGUGUUCGUGCAGGAAGCUUAGACGCUGAUGGUUAUUCUGAUAGUGAUGCAUGCUCGGUUGGUAGUUGUAGUGCUACUAGUUAUGAUGAGAGUAAUAUGCCACCUUGUAUGCUAGAUGACUCUAGUAACCAAUCAGACUCAUGUAGCAGCGAUGCUGAAUCUUCUUGUGGCCUCGAGGAAGAAGCAAGGAGGACACUUUCAUCAGCUCGUGAUGGAGCAGGAAGGUCCUGUAGGUCUGAACUAUAUACUUACCGCAGUACUUUGGGGGAAUUAUUUUCUUCUGGUCCCCUAAGUUGGGAGCAAGAAGUGUCGUUAACUGAUCUUCGUCUUUCUCUUAAUAUAUCAGAUGAUGAACAUUUGAUGGAGGAACAGUGUUGCCUUGUUCGGGGCAUGCAGAUCUUUUGCUUCUAGAGGUUAACUCUGAUGCUGGGGUUUACAACUUCACCCGUGGCCAUCUGAAUGGUGUCCUGGAGUCGCUUUGUCCACAGGGCUUGAAAGCUAUGCUUUAAGCAGGUUUCUUAGAUAUGUUUUACACUCUGGUUGGUAAUUUUGCUGAUAACAUUUCGAGAUCGAGUAGUUUCUCAUUUCUCUUUACACUUUACAGUUCACUCGGUAUAUUUUGCGGUGCUCGUUUUUGUGGUAUUGUGUCUGCUCUGCUCUUGUUACUUCAUUAGAACUGCAUGAUGUAGAUCAGUAGAUCCUACGAUGUUUAAUUUUUACUAGCUUUGUAAGUUAAUUCUGAUAUAUAGAUUUAGAACAAACUGGUGGUCCAGUUACACUGGUUCUGUUUUCGGUGGUCUUUUCCAAAGGCAUAGUCCAUGACACUCAUUCUUUCUGGAAAUAAACGUUGUGCCUGGUGAAAGGUAAGUUUGAAAUGGAGUAACGUUUGUCCGUCUGGAAGAAUUGUAUAUGCUGUGCUCAUCCAGAAAAUAUGUCGUGAAUUGAUGUUGAAUGAUUCCUUAUUCUGAUUUGUUCUCAUGACUUGUUUUCAUGGAAUUUAUCGAGAAGAAAGGGAGCACAUCCCUGCUUUCUUGCAUACUUAGUCGCAUGUGCAUUGUGGAAAUUCUCCAAGCUCACUCUUCAGAUCUCUCCAGCAAAGCUAAUUUUUUGACAUGGCAGUAUGAAACUCUAACACCGAAUUUAUUAAUUUCACCAAGGUAUGUAUCAUUUUGCAAUAUGUUGUGCAUGUUUUCUUAAGUUAGUGGCCUACACAUAUAAUAAAAACGAGUUUCUAAUCACCAAGCAGACUAUCUUGCAAAAGCAACCUGGCAAUACUUGAUUUGUUACUCAGAAAUAUGCCAAAUGUUUCAAUGGUCAUGAAAAGUGAUUAGUCGAUACAAGAACUUGUAAAGUAAGAACCAUAUCUAUGUGAUGAAUGACGAGGAUGUUUUUAUUACAAGCCAUGAGCUGUCCUGUCUUCUUGUAAAUAAAUAAUAAGUGUGUGAUAUAUGAUAGUGAAGUAUAUGGUUAGAAUAAUAAGUGUGUAAAUGGAGGGUUGAAUAAAUGGAGGGUUGUAAAAUAAAGUAGAGAGUUAGAAUAAAUGGAGGGUUGUAAAAUAAAGCAUAAAAAUAUCGUAAGGAAUAUUCUAUGUAAUAUUUCCUAAGACUUGUAAUAUAAAUACUAAGGCUUGGUAAAAAGUUUCAUUCAAGCUGGAGUGAGUAAGUUUGAGUGUGAGAGUCUUAAGAGCCUUUGUAAUCCUUUGAUUGUUUCAAUAAUAAAAUAUAU